UGAUUUUGAGAGUCUUUGUGACAAUUAAAUAAACAAAACUCUGUCUACAUUCUGGUACCCCUUAUCCGAUCUGUGUAGUGAGUUCUUUACAGAGACCCGUAACUAUUCAAAGUUUCAUAUUACAAUGAAAAUCUUUGACAGGAGACGACACCAUGCUAUUUUUAAUAUGUACGAUUUUAUUUUUGUGUUACCCACACAUUAGGAAUUCUAAAAAUUUUUGAAUAUCAUAUCAAAAAUUGACCGCUCCAGCGGGGUUCGAACC
rnacentral:misc_RNA from 1 species